rnacentral:rRNA from 1 species
AUACGAAGGGGGCUAGCGUUGUUCGGAAUUACUGGGCGUAAAGCGCACGUAGGCGGAUAUUUAAGUCAGGGGUGAAAUCCCAGAGCUCAACUCUGGAACUGCCUUUGAUACUGGGUAUCUUGAGUAUGGAAGAGGUAAGUGGAAUUCCGAGUGUAGAGGUGAAAUUCGUAGAUAUUCGGAGGAACACCAGUGGCGAAGGCGGCUUACUGGUCCAUUACUGACACUGAGGUGCGAAAGCGUGGGGAGCAAACAGGAUUAGAAACCCUAGUAGUCC